UUUUAGCCCCGAUUGAAGUGAAAAUCCUUUUCCUUUUUAUUUUCAAAAAGGAAAAGAUUGCAACGAAAAGCGGGACAAAUU
rnacentral:sRNA from 1 species